UUGACGGGGCCCGCACAAGCGUGGAGCAUGUGGUUUAAUUCGAAGCAACGCGAAGAACCUUUACCAGGUCUUGACAUCCCGAUGCUAUUUCUAGAGAUAGAAAGUUACUUCGGUACAUCGGUGACAGGUGGUGCAUGGUUGUCGUCAGCUCGUGUCGUGAGAUGUUGGGUUAAGUCCCGCAACGAGCGCAACCCCUAUUGUUAGUUGCCAUCAUUCAGUUGGGCACUCUAGCGAGACUGCCGGUAAUAAACCGGAGGAAGGUGGGAUGACGUCAAAUCAUCAUGCCCCUUAUGACCUGGGCUACACACGUGCUACAAUGGUUGGUACAACGAGUUGCGAGUCGGUGACGGCGAGCUAAUCUCUUAAAGCCAAUCUCAGUUCGGAUUGUAGGCUGCAACUCGCCUACAUGAAGUCGGAAUCGCUAGUAAUCGCGGAUCAGCAUGCCGCGGUCGAAUACGUUCCCGGGCCUU
rnacentral:rRNA from 1 species